rnacentral:lncRNA from 1 species
GGGGGUGGCAGGCGGUGCCACCAGGGCGGCCAUUGCUGUUCAUCAGGCCAGGAGGGACAACGCGGCCGAGGUGGCGGCCAAGGAUGGCAGUCAGGUUAAUGGGAGGGACUGGGAGGAACUGGGAGGGACUGGGAGGGACUGGGAUGGAACUGGGAGGGACUGGAAUGGGACUGGGAAAGAAUGGGAGGGACUGGGAUGGAACGGGGAGGGACUGGGAUGGACUGGAAUGGGACUGGGAAGGAAUGGGAGGGACUGGGAUGGACUGGGAGGGAGUGGGAUGGAACUGGGAAGGACUGGGAUGGACUGGGAGGGAGUGGGAUGGAACUGGGAGGGACUGGGAUGGACUGGAAUGGGACUGGGAAGGAAUGGGAUGGACUGGGAGGGACUGGGAUGGACUGGGAGGGACUGGGAUGGAACUGGGAGGGACUGGGAUGGACUGGGAGGGACUGGGAUGGAACUGGGAGGGACUGGGAAGGGACUGGGAAGGAAUGGGAGAGAUUGGGAGGGACUGGGAUGGACUGGGAGGGAGUGGAAUGAAACUGGGAGGGAUUGGGAUGGACUGGGAGGGAGUGGAAUGGAACUGGGAGGGACUGGGAUAUACUGGGAAGGAAUGGGAGGGACUGGGAUGGACUGGGAGGGACUGGGAUAUACUGGGAGGGAGUGGAAUGGAACUGGGAGGGACUGGGAUAUACUGGGAAGGAAUGGGAGGGACUGGGAUGGACUGGGAGGGACUGGGAGGGAACUGGGAUAUACUGGGAUAUACUGGGAUGUACUGGGGGGGACGAGAAGGGACUGGUCUCUGCUGGUCUGUACUGGUCUGUACUCUUUUAUACUGGUCUAUACUGGUUUAUACUGGUCUGUACUGGUGUGUUCUGGUUUGUACUGGUUUAUACUGGUUUAUACUGGUUUAUACUGGGCAGGAGACGGUGGUGAACGCGCUGGGGUUGCUGUUGGCGCUGCUGCUGUUGCCGGUGCUGGAGGGGCAGCCGUGGCUGACGUGGCUCCUGGUGCUGCUGCUGAUGGUGGCCCACUUGGGUGCCAACAUGGCGGCCGUCCGCUCGCUGUGUUUCCCCACCUUGAACCGACCCCGACUCCGCCUGGCUCUCAGUGGGGCCUUGCGGGGUUUCAGCGGGGUUUUACGGGGUCCCACAGACCCCAAAACCCCGACCCCAAAAACGGGGGACCUCACGCUCACCGUCCCCAGCCCCGAAGAGAUCAACCCCCGAGAGCCUCUACUGCCUGGUCAGUGGCACCCAAUGUCACCCCACUGUCACCCCAAUGUCACCCCACUGUCACCCCAAUGUCCCCAAUACCCCCCAAUGUCCCUAAAUGCCACCCAAUGUCCCCAAUGUCCCCCAGUGUCCCCAGUAUCCCCAAUGUCUCCCAAUGCCCCCAAUAUCCCCAAUGUCCCCAACUGUCCCUAAUGUCCCCAGUGUCCCCAAUGUCCCCCAAUGUCCCCCAAUGUCCCUAAAUGCCACUCAAUGUCCCCAAUGUCCCCAUUGUCCCCAAUGUCCCCAAUGUCCCCAUUGUCCCCC